AGUGGAAUGGUGGGUUGUUUAUUCUUUCCCGUGCGCCGUGUCAGCGAAAGCCUCGCCAAGGACUCUCAAGGAGAUGCGGGCGUUGACAGGCGGAAAGGCUUAGGAGAUGAAGACGUAGCGGGGUUUUUUUUUUUUGGUUGAAGAUGGUUUGCUGGAUCGAUAACGAAACGCCAACCCUCCUUCGAGCUUCGAACACUCAAUCAAACCCCGUGGUUUGGGGAUUAGCACACACACACGCACACACGGAGACGACAGCAUUCCCGGAAGCUGAGCGAAUUCGGGCUGCGAAUGUGAGCUGAAUUUUAGAUGUAAUUUUACGCUCCGUGUGCGUGUCAUAGAUGCUCCCGGGUCCCGGGGUUUGAAAUUGGGGUCGAGCUGGGGUUAGGGAUUCGGCUUAUCGGUACUCGAAUCGGUGCUUACAUAACUCAUUCUCACCUUUGUUUGUUUGAAAAUAUGUCAGCGCUUCCAAGUAUGCGGCCCUUGUUUUAUCCCAUCGCUGUGGCCCAUCUAAAGCCCCGAGGACAGGCAUUUUGGAUUUAAUUUAUAUAAUUCUCAGAAAAGCGAGAAAAGAGACACAAUGCUUACAAUGCCGCAAUAUGGAAAUAAUUUAAAGAAAAUUAAAUUGCUUCCAGUUGAACGGCAGGAGUAAAUUACUCAGCAACGAAUAGCAUACAUCUGGGCGCUUUCUCUGUUCGGAUGCUACGCGCAUCGAUGUUGCCUGAAGUUAUGCAAUCCGUGUAUCAUAUCGUUAUUUCAAACAGCACGUGAGCAAUCCUGUCGCGUCACUUUCUCAACCAAACGUUCAAAAAUGUUGUUUUGGUGUGGAAAUUCAAGCGAAAAACUAAAACUAAUCACGAAUACAAAUUGCAUCUUCAAUCGUUUCAUGAUGCAAUAUUUUUCCUUUCCCAAAGUUUCUGCCCACCCUGUGACGUAUGGUGGUGUAAUAUUUUCUACAUCACUUCAUCAUAAAACACCCCAUUUCGCUCUUUGGCUACACACAGUACAAGCAACUUUUACACCCCUUAUCAGACACGAAAAUUACGUCACGUUGGUACACACAAAGGCCCGGUGCGCCACCCGCUCCUGGUAUGAUUUAGUGACUGUUGCAUAAAAACUCCAGAUUCCGGCUUCUAUAGUGAUGUACGUGUCGCACUGAGAUUGCAAUCCGACGUGCAAACCAGCCAGCACCACACGGUGUGUGUUUAUGUGUGGGAGUCUUCACGGCACACUUUCCUCGUUCGUGAUGUGCUGCGCAAUGCACCUGCUGCUACUGUUUCAUAAAACAUCCUCCCCCGUACGCGAAGCUGGCUAGUUGGCCGGCUUCGUUCCGAUGGCCUUGAAUAACCGCCCCUCCCGCGCAGGAAAAAAGGGGAUGCAUCCGUUUGACAGCACCGUUUUGCAGGAUAUUUGCGUGGUAAAUGGGAGCUAGUUUUCCUGCUCGCUGAGCAGCAGCGUGCUGAGUAAGCACGGCGACCAACACAGCAUACCCCGGGUUCGGUGGAAUUAAAGAGUUAAUUGGAUUUCUUUUUGCAGCCCGCGACCGACGCAUAUAAUGAUGGGAACCAGGGGGAGGGGUUGGUUGCUUUGGAACGUGAUUGGAUUGCUUUAUAAUGUUUUCCAUUAAACGGUGCAGUCGGGUUUAAUGCGAAAACGUUAUGCACUAAGGCUGAGCAAUUUUUAAAGAAAUGAAUGCGGGGGCCAGUUACAACGAACGAUUCCUAUCUAAUGAGAUCAUUCGUACAUGACAUGAUUCAAUAUUCAGCCCAGCAGGCGCCCAGGAUGCAAGCGAGCGAUGCGGUAGUUUAAUCUACUCAUCUGCAUCUGGUGCAUUGGCACAGCCAGCUGCCCUGAACUCGAGCAACAGAAUUGCAUUAGACAGUGUUCUGGAGGUGGGUCCGUUAGCCUCAUCCUGUCACAUGCAAACACGCUGUUGCACCAACUGAAGCAGAAAUAGUAGAUACGUUUUCCACUGUGUUACAUUCAGCUUCAGCCAACAGAUUCCAGUUUUCCAGCACAGAAAGCAAUCGACACUGCUGCUAGUGGGAACAAAAACGUGUCAGACGGCUCAGCUUCCUUUAGCCUGUAUCAUCGGUCUAUUCCACCGGCUGUAUGACGAUGGAGCUUUGGUGGACCUUUUUUAUUACCCAUAUAUUGCACUAUUCAUCUUUGUGUGUGUGUGUGUGUGCAUGAACGAUCCCAUGAAUCGCACGGAGUGGCUAUAUUAAUGCAGCAAAAACCCCUACCUGUAGUAGCCCUGCGAUAGCCCGGUGACACAGAGCUGGUGCGACAGGCGCUUGACAGGAUUAAAAUCAAAGGAUCGAUGGUGGCCGGGGCUUGCAGGGAGCGAUACAAGGUAAUCGAGUGAUGGAAGACCGUGCUUGGUUGCGUUGAUGAUUGGAUUAAUGGCUGCCAGGUAGGUUUUCCUCUAAUGGCUUACGUAGAAAAGGGUUCCGGCAAGCGGAUUAGGUGCGAAAGGAUUCUGCGAAAUAAUGCCUGCACCAGCAGCCAGGAUCGUUUUAGAUCGUCCAUGGUGGUCGUUGUGGACGGUGUGGGGUGGUGGGACUUGUCAGUAAUAUUAAAUGAUGACGUUUUCAAUAUUUUCAUCGUGCAAUAAUACCAGCCAGUUGAAUUAUUAAGCACGUAAAUGGAAGAUUUAUUAAAACAGCAGAUCAGUAAGUAAACGCCACAAACUGUGUGGUAUUAAAUAAACAUAAUCGUGUAAUUUACAUCAAUUAAUCUGUUUGUGGUGCACAAACCUGUAAUCCCAACGAAACAGAAAAGCCCACCCGACCCCGGUGAAUAAUUGAUCAAAGUGUGUCCUUUUGCUGACCUUGUACCAUCAUUGCUGCUUCUGCUCAUCGUCGGCGGCGGUUGCGAUGACGAUAAUUAAAUAAAUGUAUUUUCCACCUGUUGUGUCCACGGACACGAGCAGCGAUAAAUAUACAUUUUCUAUCAUCUCUCCCCGGCUUCUGCGUCAUUUGGUGUGUGGAGUGACCCCACCAUGUACCUACGUAUCUGAUCCGGGCAACCAUCAUCAGCCUUGGACGCAGUAUUAAUUUGUAACCUAAUCUACACGCUUCAGCAGCACACCUUUCAACGAUGAGCACUGGAAGUAACGAAAGUAACACAAAGAAAGGAAACGUGGUCGUUUGGCAACGGCAAUUUCUAUCAAUUGUUCGUUUUUUGGAAGGAAAGCUGGAGCCUGUCACCCCCUGGAGGCAUGAGACCUGUUCCUCAGCAGCUCGCUGGGAUUGGGCUUAGGUUCGUUGUUUUGUGCAGCACCUUAUCCACUUUUCAGCGAAAAAUGUCGUGGAGAGAGGUGAAGAGAGAAGCAUUAACAUUGCACAAGGACAUGGCAUCGCAUCGUUCCGGGCGUGGUGUGGUCGUGCAAGCUGUUGAAAUGUUGUCUUUGGCAGGAGAUGACAGGACCUGUCCGUUGGAAUUUUGUCGAUUUUGGCAAAUAAGGGGAUUAUAGUUUAGAAAUAUGGAAAGCAUAAAAUAUGUUUCUCUUACUUCAGCUUGUAAUGCAAUCCUAA